UACGUAGGGACCAAGCGUUGUCCGGAAUCAUUGGGCGUAAAGAGCGUGUAGGCGGCUUGUUAAGUCUUGCGUGAAAUCUCGGGGCUCAACCCCGAGCGGUCGUGAGAAACUGGCAGGCUAGAGUGCGGGAGAGGAGAGUGGAAUUCCUGGUGUAGCGGUGAAAUGCGCAGAUAUCAGGAGGAACACCGGUGGCGAAGGCGGCCUGCUGGGCAGUAGCUGACACUGAGGCGCGACAGCGUGGGGAGCAAACAGG
rnacentral:rRNA from 1 species